UGGUGGAGUGAUUUGUCUGCUUAAUUGCGAUAACGAACGAGACCUUAACCUACUAAAUAGUUACGCGAACCUUGCGUUCGUGGACAACUUCUUAGAGGGACUUUUGCGUGUUUUAACCAAAGGAAGUUUGAGGCAAUAACA
rnacentral:rRNA from 1 species